UUUAGCUUUUUCUAUCCACAGAUGAUGUCACUAUUCCAUCCACAGAUGAUGUCAUCAUUCCAUCUACAGACAAAUGUAUUUUUCGUUCCAACUAAUGAUGAUUGCUUAGAGUUGUGGAACAUAGAAACAGAUAGCAUGUCACAAAUAAACAACUAGAGUGAUGAGUAAAGUUGUACACCUUCAUACAGCAUUAGCACAAUUGCCUUGGGGAAGAGGUUCCAUUUAUGCCAAAACUAUGUAUGAUUCCUCUGGUUUUCCAAAAACCUGUCCACCCAUUGAAGAUAAAUGGAAGCUGCUGGAAUGAGCUCUUCACACUGAGAUAUCUUCUAUUCAUUAAACUAAAUCUUACACGUUGCUUAUUUAGUCCCUUUUUUUAAUUGAAGUUUGUAACAGCAUAGGAACAGUUGACAGACAAAGGUAGCAAUUAUACAAUAUAGUCAGUAGGUUAUACUCAUAAGAAGUGGAACACCUAAGGGAUCAAAGGGGUGAGAGAAGGCUUAGAACGAGAAUGGACGUUAGUCUAUGUACUCAUGUCUGUAGGAAUAUAGACGAGGAACCCGAAAUCCUGUGUUACAUUUCCUUACAGUUACAAGCAGUCUUCAGAGAUUCUAUGAGAGGAGGAACUGUUGGAGUCGAAAUUCUGUUCCUAAUGCUUUGCUAGAUUGGUUUUGGCAGCAACCAGAAAGUGCAUAAUUAGACCAGCAUAUCCAAAAGAAACACUUGUGGAAGCCAAGGUAAGAUUUGGCCGGUAACAUGUGAGAUUAGGAGUUACACAUUCUACCAAUCGUUCCCAGUACCUCAAUCCCAUGCUGAUACACUCGCAGGUUUAUUCGCUAAGGUGAGAACUGUCAGGAAUUUAAAGUCAAUUCAAUGUUUAGGCCAAAGUAGCCAAACUGAAACUAGAAUUACCUUGAUUUUAUUUUCUAGUUUUUCUAUAUUGGCCUAAAUGUUGGAAUUCACUUUAAAUUCUCUGCAAUUAUCAUUUUACAGAAUCAAGUGAAUGUGUGUGUUCAAAUAUAUCGCUUUCUUAAAAAAAAAAAAACUGCCAUUAGGCAACAGGCACGUUGCGAAGACGGACCUUUCAAGUUACUUUAGAGAAUCUGGGUUCAAAUGGAAAAUUGAAGGUUCUGCAAACCAGAGCUUUUACUCCAAGUCUUUGUACACGUAAAAAGGAAGAUCAUUUCACCACUUGUUAUCCUUUCUAGAGCCAAAAAUUGCAACAUAAAAAUAAUAAGCAGCAGGUGGUUAAAGAAGAAUGAAGUUUAACAGCAGUCUUCCGAACACUGCAACGUGUAGGAGUGGGAAGCACAGCUGUUGCCAGUAUCUGGUUAUUCACACGGCAAACCUUUGGAGCCUGGAAGUGAGAAGAAAGAGAGAGGAAUGAACGGUUUAAGGAACAGUUUCUAUUUACAUAUCCACAGUCCAACGUUGGUUGAAUUCAUUAAGUUAAAGAAGAACAUUGGAGUGGAGCUCAUAC